rnacentral:rRNA from 1 species
AUGCAGAAGCAGGGGAGGUCGAUGCCAUCAACGGAUAUAGGCGACACCUCGCGCGACUUGGCGCGGUUGUGGACGAGAUCCCUUUCUGACCGGACCAUGCCGGAUCAUGCGGAAACGGAGCGAGGGCGAACGGGAUCCACAAACGAGGAGGCAAGGCAUGCUGUUGUUCCUGCAGCGAUGAAGUACAGAGAGAGCGGGAGAUCGUGA